rnacentral:lncRNA from 1 species
GCGGAUUGUGUCUCCAGGAGCAGCUACAGAUAAGGUUGGAGAAAUAAGCAGGGAUCUGGUAACAAAAGGUCUUGGAUGUCAGGCCGAGGCGUUCGGAUUUUAUCUGCGGGAAAUGUAGAUCCAUGGGAGGGUUUUUAAGUGUGCGGUGAUGUGGCCGGCUUUGCACUUUCGAAUGUUCUCUCUGGGCCAAGGCGGAGGGCGGGCUGGAGGCAGCACACUAGUGAGGAGCCUGCUGCCACCACCUGGGCGUGGAAAGACAGGGCUGUGGUGAGAAGAUGGAGAUGGGGUGCAGGGGGCUGACUCCCAAGAGACCAGAGGGCAAGCCCAUCCGGGCUUGAUACCCGAGGGGACGUGGAGGCACCAAAGCUAAGAGUCUAGGACAACCCUGUGGCCUCAGAGGGUAGCAUUUACUGAGCUGGCAGGGUGGCGGCCCCAAGAGAAAAAGGUUGGAGGGGAGGCAGCGGUUGGUUUGGUCUGAAGUCCAGGAUUACGCGGACAAUGGCCCUGCGGGUGGUCCAGUUCUGAACCUCAGCAGAAGACUUUGGAGCAGAAAAGCCCACAUCAGGAGUAUGUGAGAGAGGCAGCCUCAGGACUCCAGUACUUUCUAAGAGUUACUGUGGGCUGUGGUCAGCUGGGAUGUUCCAACAGCAGAUGACCUUGCAGUGCAGGCGACUGGGACCCGAAGGCAUACGAGACAUCAGGACUCAUUGAGGAAGAGAGGUCAAGGGCUGCUCCCGGGGCCUCAGCUAUCCCAUCAGGGACCCGGAUGUAGCUUGCUUUCUGCUGCACCCUGCUCUGGACUUUUGGUCUUGAUGCUAAUCCCUCUUGCCAGCAGAUGCCUGCUGCCUCCGAAAUUUCCCUGUUUCGGAGAAAGAGACCAGUUUUCCAGGACACGAGACAUUUCCCCCAGUUUAGCCAGCGCGUUGGCAUUGGUACUUGAGAUGACAUUUAUUCGUCAUCCCAGUGUGAACAGAGUGUGGUGUGCCUAGCAGCAUUUUAGUGGCACCGUAAAGCGUUCGGGAGGCAACAGGGCUCCAAGGAAAGAGGAUAGCCUUCGAGGCCAAACAGACCCGAAUCCUGGCCUUUCUGUGAAUGUUGAGUAGGCCGCUUGCCCUCUCUGAAUGUCCCUUUUAGCGUCUCUGAAACAGACAGUCAAGGGCUGCAAGUGUCCAGGGAGACGAUUCUUGGGGAGUGGCGAGCAGUUCCUGGCACACGGUAGCCUCUCCUUCACCACGUUAGCACCCCUGCCCCCCCACUCAACCUUUCUCCCCUUGAGGGGACGUCGCCGUCUUCAAGAACAACCCCAGGAUGCGGCGCCUGGGUGGCUCAGUCAGUUGAGCCUCCGACGCUUGGUUUUGGCUCAGGUCAUGAUCUCACAGUUGGUGGGUUCAAGCCCCACAUGGGGCUCUGUGCCGACGGCGCUGAGCCUGCUUGAGGUUCUCUUUCUCCCCUUCUUUCUCUGCCCCUGCCCAGCUUGUGCUCUCUCUCUCAGAAUAAAUCAGUAAGCUUUAAAAAAAAAUGUUUUCAGGAACAACCCAGGAGAAGACCCAGUCCAACCCCAUGAAAUGAAUUGCCAGUGGUAGAAUUUCACGCAGAUGCUGAGGGGCACGGGGGUUUGAGGUGACAGGAGUAGGGAAAAUAGGUGGUUUGGUUAAUAUAUGCUUACAGCUUAGAUCCACUCUGUUCACAUCGGGCUAUCCCAAUGAAUAGAGUCGCAACUGGGAAGCAAGAGAGUGAUUAAAAAAAAAAUAAAGUCUUGAAAGCCACCUGUGUCUUGUUAGAGUUCAAGCUAGCAGAAAUAGAGCCUCCCUCGCCCUCAGAUGCCUCUGUUCUCCUGCUCGUUAGCCUGGCAAAGCUGUGAGUAAGCUCAGAGCCUGCUCGCAGAGGGGGGAGUGGCUCUGCCUGGUGUGCCCGAUGAGUCACUGCCACCUGCCCUGGUCCCCUGCCUGCCAGGUGGCCACUAUCUUUGGACAUUUUUGUUUUCCUUUGUGGGGAAGGAUAAUUAUGGCCUCCAUGCCCUGUGGCUUGAUCCAUUCUGCCUGCCCAGACAGGGGCAGAGAUCCUUCACAAAACCUUUUUUUUUUUUUUUUUUAAGGGAAACCGGGGGGGGUGGCAGAGGAGGGGGGGGACUUGAGUAUGCCUAGGGUGUGCAGAAGCACCGGUGGCACAAGCGUAGGACCCUUUCGGGAUUUGCAAGAUGCUUAACUGUGCCCCACCAGUUACCGCCGCCGAAUGCAGUUGGUACGCAAAGUGGCUUAAUUGACCUACAGGUUGGUUGAGUUUUAAAACCCGGUACCCAUGCAAGAGAGAGGAAAACAGAUCUGACAGAUCCAGGAUGAGGCUGUGUGGUUUACGCAAACACGGACAAAAAACAUCCGGGGACAGAACGGCCUCACGUGGAAAACGGCCUGGUGAUUAGACAGAUAAAUGGAUGGACGAAUGGAUGGAUGAGUGUUAGCUGAGAGGGAGCAAGGGGAAAGGCAGACCCCAGGAGCUUUUGGAUUAUGUAUGUAGAACCCAACACCCUGGGCGUACGGAAGGUGUUCUAGAUGGGCACUGGACACUGACAAGUCAACCCAGGACCGGAGAGAAUGUGUCGAUUCUUUCUAAAGGGUUACUCCACACCUGGAUGUGGCGGAGGCGGCUGUAGAAGUCAUCAGUUGAGUUGGGUCACGAUGGAAAACAUUUGUGCACGAAGUCUGUAGUUGUUAGGUUCUGAGCGUGCACUGAGCCAUCAUAUUCCUGGCUUUGAAUUGCCACCCCAGGAAGGAACCUUGGGUGCAUUAUUUAACCUCUCUGGAUCUCGGUUUCCUCAUGUACGAAUGAACGCCUGUUUCAUGGAGAGGAUGGAAUGAGGCCUACAGUUAGAACUCGGUCCCUGGUCGGGAUUACACUUGUGUGUAUUACUUUUUUCAACCUACUUUAAUCGUCAGGGAACAUCGUGCCAGGUCCCUGCUAGACGCUAAGGAUAUAGACUUCUUUGUUUCAUUUUACAAAUGUUUGUUGAGCACCUACUGUGUGCCUGGCAGACACUGCUAAGUCCUGGAGGUUGGACUUAGGGGGAAACAGACAAGACCCCUGCCCACAAGGUGCCUCUAGCCUGGCAAGGAAGACGGGCAUUCAAAUAAUUAAUGUACUUAGCAUAGACAGGUCUGUGAUGAGCCAGCCCAAUGGGCUGGACACAAAGAGUAUCGAGGCCUCUGCAAAUGGGAAAAUUGAAGCACAGAAAAGUGAGACGUGCCCAGGUCCCCUCACCCCGUGGGUGGCGAGAGCCUCAGCUGGAACACAGACCAGCCUGACUCCAAAGUCCACAUCCUUUCUCAACCACGCACAGCGGUGGCUGUGUGUUCCAAGCUUCUGGACGAAGACAUCAGGCUGGGCAGAGUUGAGAAAAUGCACAGACACAGAGGGAGUCAUUUUUCAGAGUCUCCAAUUUGGGAAAGGUGUAACUUCUGGGAUCCAGAGGAGAGGAUUUGAGAAGAGUCAGCGCCUGCUGCCCCCCGAGGGGUGCUGGGUGAUUCUCAGUGGAUGGAUGUGGGUCUACGGGAGGACGUGUGCGUCUAUGCCUAGUUCUAUGAACGUGUGAAUGUGUGUGUAUUUCUGCCCCGGUCUGUGUGUUUGUAUGCCGUCUGCACGUAGAGGGGAGGCAGGCUGCUGUGCCCGUCCGUGCGUGUGUCUGUUGUUCCGUCCGUACAUUUCUGUGUGUGGCUCUAUUUAUAUGUGUGUUUCCAUAUGUCUACGUGUGUGAGUGUCUGUGCUAGUGACCCUGUGUGUGUCGGAGUUGGGGGGGGUGGGUAGAUUCGUGUGUGUCUGUGUCUGUGUAUUUGUAUUUGUGCCUGUAUGUGUGUGUGUGUGUGUGUCAGUGUCCGUGAGGGUCUGUGUGUGUGUGUGUGUGCCUGGGUGGGGGAUGGUGUGGUGUGGCCCGCCUCCCACCCCCCCCCCGCCCCCCCGAUGUUUCGGUGGCGCUGAUCUAACUUGUCCUGCAGAACUGGGGAAAUGACAACGUCAGUACGUCUAGCCUUAUCUCCCAGCCUGCCGCUCUGUCAGAGGAAAUGAGGUUUGCUUGGCACAUCUACUCUUUAUGAUGUCAUUUUGGCUGUGAUCUGCGUGUCCUGCUCCCCUAGGUAUUUUUGUCUUUUGAUCGCCUAAUGAAUACCUGCCAACGUAGAGAUGAAGAGAGCAGGCAUUUUGGAGGGGUUUUUUUCAAGAAUUUUUUUUUUUUUUUUUAAAGCAUGUUAGCUGUCCAUCUCUUUGCUGUGGACUUGGAAACCACGGUAAAGGGUUUAGAGCUCUGGCUUCGAAAUGCUAAGACUUCGGCUCAAGUCUUCAGUUGGCCCUUUCAAAAGCUGUGUGACCUUGGAGGGGACACUGUGCGUCUCGGAGCCACAGCUCUUUUCCUGCUAACUUCAGAAAGUUCUUUGGAGGGGCAAAUAUAAUAACAGAAGACUAUGCUCUCAGAAAUCCACACAGUCCUUAGAUGGCAUGAUGUCAAGGCAGAAAGGCCCAGCAAGAGGCCUCUGGGCUCAGAGGUCAGGCAGACUCUGGGUUUGGGUCCUGGCUCCCUUCUUUUCCCAGUGUAUGACAUUGAGCAAGUUAUUAUACCUCUCUGAGCCUCAGAUCGCUUCUGUGAUAAAUAGGAUAGUGCAUCUAAAGCACUCAGCCCACUGCUGGCCACCGUGAGGACCCCCAAAAUGAGAGCUGUCAAUAUUUUUAAUAAUGCAGGAAAGGUGACAGCAGUAGUUAUCAUUUGUCCCCUUUCAGACUUGCAGUGAGUAUAAGCAAGAUAAAGACUUUGGAAGUGCAGGGUGAAAUGGGGAGUGUGAUAGGAGUGAUUUACUAUUAUUUGUUUUUACUAUUUCAAGAUGCAGCAUCGGCAGAGUGUUCUUGGCAUCACCACACUCUUGGCAAGUGCUUCGCGUUUCAUCUAGAACUCAGAGACCGUUCUAGUUGCACAGAAGGCUGAGAACAAGAUGGCCUCCAGCCCAGAGAGGUCUGGGCUGGCUGCCGGGGGCUGACUUCCCCAGGACUCAUCCCCAGCCCUUCCAACUGCACCCCUUCUGGAAGAUUGCCUCACUCCAUCCUCAACACCCCCCUUGCCUUGGAAGAUGCUCUUCCUUCCCCCUGGAAUAUUCCUCAUCACCGUUCUAUGCCCUAGAUCACCUGGGCUGGGAUCCAGGUGCCUCUGCCCGAGCUAACUCCCUGCUCUGUACCCCCAGGGCACCAUGGAUUCGCCCAACCAUGCAUGACAUCCAGGACACUGGAAUGCUCUGCUCUCUGUCUGGCUGCCUCCCAGCCGGUACCCUCCAGGAGGGCAGGGACAGGGACCACGAAACCCUCAGUGGAUGUUUGCAGAGUGGACACAUGGAGAUUGGCUGGCUCCUCUCAUUUUCUGGCCUUACCUCCCUCAGAGGCAAUACCUUCAGAUGGCAAUAUAUUCAUUUCAUCUGGACCCACUUCUGACAGCCAUUUUGUUCAGUAACAGAGAUGAUGGAAUAAUGUCGCCUGUUGAUUAUUUUGGGGGUUUUGGGUUUGCUUUCGAAACCGAUGGGUUUGCUUUUGAAACCGAUGGGUUCAUUUCCUCUGGACUGCUUGUCUCAAAUAAUGGUGCCACGCAGACCAGAGGACAAAAGAUUCCCAAGUGUUUGACCUGCUUCAGCCUGUGUUUUGGGGCUAACAUGUGGGUUUGCUGCAGUGACCAUGGAGCUCUUGCCAGAGCUGGGCUCCCAGGACAGAUGUUGGAAUGCUCUGCAAUUUCAGAUGAGUCUUUUCAUGGUCAGGUGGGCAUCACUCAAGGAGAGAUGUAUAGUCUAUCUGCCUGAUGAGGUGUGAGCCUCACAGUGCGAGCCUUUCUCUCACCUAAUAACCACCUGGCACACCCAGUUGGCAUUCUGGCAUUUGGGCCACCUCAUGGUGCAGAGCAGGGGUCACCAAAUGACACCCCUCAAGCCAAAUCUAGCCCACAACCUGUUUUUGUAAAUAAAGUUUUAUCGGAACACAGCCAUGCCCAUUCAUUUACCAUUCAAGGUCUAUGGCUGCUUUCGAACUAUAAUGGCAUAAUUGAGUAAUUGCGACAGAGACCGUAAGGCUUGCAAGGACUAAAAAAUUUUCUGUCUGGACCUUUAUCGGAACACCAGAUUAAAGAAGAAUCUGGUUGAGCUAAAUCAGUAACCCUGAGCAUCAUCCCAUCUCCUUGCUCUCCCUCAGCCUUGACAUUGGGCUGAUCGCCGAGACCAGAUUACUUUGCCCCACUAUACCAUACAUUUUCCACCCAUCUCUUCCUCAAGUGCCACUGCCUUGGCUUAACUCUGUCCCCACCCCUCUUGACUGUCACCAGGGCCACCAUGAGCCUAUAAGGUGUCUGGGUGAAUUAGAUAAAGAUGUCUUCUCUGGGUAGCUGCAGCUCUAUGAUACGCAUGGUGAGCAAUAGGAGUGCUUCUGUGCAGGGAAAAAGCCACCUAAGCCUAUUGAUUAUACCUAAUCAAUUACAGCUCUCAUACCUACUGAUUAUAUCUAUUGAUUAUACAUUCUCCUCACCUCCUUAUCCAGGUAGCCCUUCGCACUAGAGCUAGAGUGAUCCUUCUAGCAAGCUGCGUUCCUCGCCUGCUCAACCCCUCCAUACCACUCCCCACCCCCAUCCUCACGGCAGAGCCCGUGUGCAUGACAU